UAGGGAAUCUUCCACAAUGGACGAAAGUCUGAUGGAGCAACGCCGCGUGUGUGAUGAAGGGUUUCGGCUCGUAAAACACUGUUGUAAGAGAAGAAUGACAUUGAGAGUAACUGUUCAAUGUGUGACGAUAUCUUACCAGAAAGGAACGGCUAAAUACGUGCCAG
rnacentral:rRNA from 1 species